rnacentral:tRNA from 1 species
GUCCCGGUGGUGUAGUGGAGUGCAUCGGACCCUGCGAAGGUCCAGGCCCUGGUUCGAGUCCAGGCCGGGACA